UACGAAGGGGGCUAGCGUUGUUCGGAAUCACUGGGCGUAAAGGGCGCGUAGGCGGCUGUUCAAGUCGGGGGUGAAAUCCCGUGGCUCAACCACGGAAUGGCCUUCGAUACUGGACGGCUGGAGACCGGAAGAGGUGAGUGGAACUGCGAGUGUAGAGGUGAAAUUCGUAGAUAUUCGCAAGAACACCAGUGGCGAAGGCGGCUCACUGGUCCGGUAUUGACGCUGAGGCGCGAAAGCCAGGGGAGCAAACGGG
rnacentral:rRNA from 1 species